UACGAAGGGGGCUAGCGUUGUUCGGAUUUACUGGGCGUAAAGCGCACGUAGGCGGAUCGAUCAGUCAGGGGUGAAAUCCCAGAGCUCAACUCUGGAACUGCCUUUGAUACUGUCGAUCUGGAGUAUGGAAGAGGUGAGUGGAAUUCCGAGUGUAGAGGUGAAAUUCGUAGAUAUUCGGAGGAACACCAGUGGCGAAGGCGGCUCACUGGUCCAUAACUGACGCUGAGGUGCGAAAGCGUGGGGAGCAAACAGG
rnacentral:rRNA from 1 species